AGGUAUGCUUAGUACGGCGAGUGAGCGGCAAAAGCUCAAAUUUGAAAUCUGGUACCUUCGGUGCCCGAGUUGUAAUUUGGAGAGGGCAACUUUGGGGCCGUUCCUUGUCUAUGUUCCUUGGAACAGGACGUCAUAGAGGGUGAGAAUCCCGUGUGGCGAGGAGUGCGGUUCUUUGUAAAGUGCCUUCGAAGAGUCGAGUUGUUUGGGAAUGCAGCUCUAAGUGGGUGGUAAAUUCCAUCUAAAGCUAAAUAUUGGCGAGAGACCGAUAGCGAACAAGUACAGUGAUGGAAAGAUGAAAAGAACUUUGAAAAGAGAGUGAAAAAGUACGUGAAAUUGUUGAAAGGGAAGGGCAUUUGAUCAGACAUGGUGUUUUGUGCCCUCUGCUCCUUGUGGGUAGGGGAAUCUCGCAUUUCACUGGGCCAGCAUCAGUUUUGGUGGCAGGAUAAAUCCAUAGGAAUGUAGCUUGCCUCGGUAAGUAUUAUAGCCUGUGGGAAUACUGCCAGCUGGGACUGAGGACUGCGACGUAAGUCAAGGAUGCUGGCAUAAUGGUUAUAUGCCGCCCGUCUUACACCACCGAAAACAAAAAA
rnacentral:rRNA from 1 species